UACGUAGGGGGCAAGCGUUGUCCGGAUUUAUUGGGCGUAAAGAGCGUGUAGGCGGCCAGUUAGGUCCGUUGUGAAAACUCGAGGCUCAACCUCGAGACGCCGAUGGAAACCAUCUGGCUAGAGUCCGGGAGAGGAGAGUGGAAUUCCUGGUGUAGCGGUGAAAUGCGCAGAUAUCAGGAAGAACACCCGUGGCGAAAGCGGCUCUCUGGAACGGUACUGACGCUGAGACGCGAAAGCGUGGGGAGCGAACAGG
rnacentral:rRNA from 1 species